rnacentral:tRNA from 1 species
UAAGAUAUAGCUCAGUGGCAAAGUAUUUGCCUUGCAUUUGCAAAGCCUUGGGUUCAAUCCCCAUUUCAAAA